AAUGCUUUGACAAAUUUUGCUUCGUCAAUUGACAAUUGUAGGCGUGCUUUGGUGCAUAUUGCGUGGUUGAAAUGUCUCACGAAAAUUACGCACGUUACUGGAAAAAGAGUGGCAUUUUGUAUAGAAGGAAAAGGCAAUUAGCAGCACUCAGAGAACAGUGCGAUUCUGUCGGAGUGUCAACCUUUGACCACACUGUUCAUGGGAAGUUUUAGUCCUUCUUCUAUUUGUCCUCUAGGAUGAGAUGAAAUUGUGAUUCAUGUGCUGAUAUUCUCAUUAAUUUUUAGAUGCGGUUGAAUCUGCCAUUGACGAUACAUCUGCCAUCGACGUAGAAGACCAUAUCGCUUCUUCUUCUAGUUCUAGUCGGUGAAAAAUACCAUGAAAUGUAGGUAUUGUUUUUUAUUCUUUCGACGGUGUCUUGCCCGCGCAACGUGUGUAAGAAGGAGAAAAGGCAUAGCUUGUUGUUUGCUUUUCUGUGUCUGUGUUUGAUUGUUGUGUCAAAAAACUUAUCGAAAGUCAACGAAUAAAAGUCUAAAAAAUUUUGAACGAAUAAUUUUAAUUGUUGAUUUAUUUCAUUUCAAAAGUGGUUGGAUGAAACGUUUCAAACCUCCGCUGAAAAAUUUCGGGACCGUGAAUGAAACAUUUCACAUUUAUGGUUUGUUUGUUAUAAUUAUGGCACGCUUUUUUUUCAUCCACGAAGUCUGUUAAUUACUGCUGUAAGUGUACAUAUAAGUCUACAUAUACGACUCCGUAUAUAGGUCGUAGUAAGGUCGGAUAUCGCUUUUUGGUUAUGUGGGUCACCUAGUCCAACAAAUCUAGACAAAUUUAACAAUAUAACACUUGUUUAACAUACUAAGGAAUAAACAAAACGAAAUCAUUCCCUAAACCUCAAUGGUAUGUUGACGUAUCUCUUUGGUCUCUCUGGGCAGGGGACCCUCGUUUUGGCCUUGCUUUUGUCCUGUCCCAUCUGAUAUUUUUAAGGAUGGAAUAUUAGUUUUACCUUCUUCUUGUAGAGUAUUCCUUGUGCUACUCGUCGUGGGACAUCUUAUUAUGUGAGCUACUGGUCUUCGAUACCUGUUUCCAUUUUCACCGGUUAUAACUACCUCUGUGCCAUUUCUUUCUACGACUGUAAAACGUUCUGCUCGGAAAGUAGGCUCUAAUUUACCCAUUUCAUAAUUUCUUAUGAAUACUUUGUUUCCAACACUUAUCGCAUUAUCCCUGGCAUGGCGUUUUCUAUCAGCGUACAAUUUUCCAUGCAUUUUGCUGAUCAUGUCUUUAUCGCGAACUUCUUCAUCCCGAUUCCAAUAAGGGUCAGUCCUUAAUGAAGGUAGUAGGUCUUUAACUGGUCUGCCCGUGAGAAGCUCCAUUGGAGAUUUUCCCCUAACUGAAUGAGGUGUUGUGUUAUAGCUAUAAACGUAUUCUUGCACCGCUUUCCUCCAAUCGUCUUUCAUUGCUUUGGCAAUCCGUAAAGCCCGCAAGAUACCCCUAUUCUGCCUUUCUACUCACCCAUUCAUCUGUGGCCAGUAUGGAAUAGUAUGUAUGACUCUAAUAUUUUUGCUCUUGCAAUAACCUAAAAAUUCAAAAAAAAAAAAUGGUGGGCCAUUAUCGGUUCUAAUCGUUUCGGGGUAAGUGUGGUGAUGGAAUAUACGUUCAAGAACUUCAAUUGUUUUACUAGCAGUCGUGGUGUUCAUUUCCAUAACCGUAAGAAACCUACUGUAGUAGUCAACUGCGACUAGAAAUGUCGCACAUUCUUUUGCUGUGAAAAAAUCUAUUGCUAAAUCUUGCCAUGCUCGCUCUGGCAUUUCCUUUCUUGUCAUCGGCUCCGGUGGCCCUGAUUGCCUUACUAAUGCACAGCCUUCACAUUCUUGUACCCUGUUUUCUAUGUCCCGAUCCAUAUAUGGCCACCAAAUUUUCUCUCUGAUGUUUCUUUUCAUAGUUUUUAUACCUGGAUGACCCCUAUGAGCAAUAUCUAAAGCUCUUUUCCGCAAUUUCUCUGGGAGAACAAUUCGAUCAUUCCUCACUACCACCCCGUUUAUGACCCCAAGUUCCUUUGCAAAUGCCUGAAAAGCAAACGAAUGUGACGGCCAUGUGUUUGUUUCAAUAGCCUUACUAACUUCAUUCAAAGUUGCAUCGGAAUUAGUUGCUUGUUUGAUUUCUUCUAACUUUAUAUCUACUGGUCCAAUCUCAAUAGAACAAACAAAAUGUUCUGAAGCCUCAUCAAACGCUUUACUCGACGGGGGGCACAACCUAGAUAAAAUAUCCGAGAUGUUGCUUUGUCCUGGAACGUGUACGACUGUGAAAUCAUACGGUUGCAACCUCAGUGCCCAACCCUCGGCACGCGUGCACGCCCGUUUCUCUUCUUGGUGUUUUCCACCAAAUAUAUAUUCCAACGUUUUAUGGUCAGUGUACACCGUAAAAUGAAUCCCGAAAAGGUACGUGUAGAAUUUUUCUACAGCCCAAACAACAGCUAAAGCUUCCCUCUGUGUUUGCGGGUAAAUCUUUUCUGUAUCUGUAAACCUCAAUAGCCCUCUUCCUGUCAUUAAAGUUGUGAUGUCAUGUGAAUCCGGGUGUAGCUCAAUGUGGUAACAAGUCGACGUGAUGUCUAGCUUGGAAAAUAUUUUUGCUCCUUUUAGCUUGUUGAGAAGUGUGUCAAUUACAGGGAGAGGAUAGUGUUCCCUUUGAAUCGCCUUAUUAGGGUAUCGCAUAUUUAUGCAAAGACGAAUGUCGUCUUUACCCUUAGGAACCACUACCAUAGGCGAUAUCCAAUUGGCAGGACCUAUAACUGGCUCAAUUAUGUCUGCUUCUAACAUUUCCUGUAACUUCUGAUUGACUUUUUCCUCCAUCGCUAUCGGUAUUCUUAGGCAGGCUAGCUUCUUUGGCAUAACAGUAUCAUCAAUUGCAAGCUUCAAUUGGAUUCCCGGAAAUUUUGGAAAUGGUGUUUUCUUUUGCCCUAUCAGAUUAACUUCUAGCCCAACUUUCAAAACUUUCAGCUCCUCCGCUGUCGUUUUGCAAAGCAAACAUCGAUUCGCUCCUUUGAUAACGAAGAAUUCUGUGUAGACCUUAGGUUUUGCAGCAUUGAUUGUAAUUCAUGCCUCAAAACCAGCCACCACUUCCAAUGGGACUUUAGAUGCAUACGCAUUGAACUGGCGAUCACAUUCAAACUCCAUGUUAAAUACCUUGGCCCUGCUACCAAUUAAUUUUCCCCAUACUUUUUCUGUUUUCGUAUUUAUCAUUGCUCCUGAAUCGAUAAGGAACUCUACUGGUAUUUUAUCGAUGUGUCCCACAAUCAUUCCAUCAUUGGUGUUUUGUUGCUAAAAUAGAAAAUAUGAACAUACGAUUAAUUAUUUGAAAAUAACAGAUAGUAAGUUCCUUUCCUUUCAUAUAUUGUUUAUUUUGAUGACUUACGAAUCCAAUUCACUAAUUCAAUAAACGAAAGGAGGAUUUAAAGGUUCCGUUUUCCACAGAUUAUAAUACUCAAUCAUUUCUUUAUGAUUUCCAAACAGAAACAAAAAUUUGAAACGAAAGUAAACUGAGUAAGUUGUCACUCUACCUUUUCUAUAGCCGGGGGCGAUUCAUUACACAAUGCAUUAGCCACUUCCGGUUACUGCCAUCGGUACCGGUUGAUUCCCUGUGUUGUCCGCCUAUUUCGCCCUUCUGUGCACUUCCUUGCAAAGUGUCCCAACUGUCCACACUUGUUGCAUCGAGAAUUUCUAGCCGGACAGUCCUUCGCUUGAUGCCUCCAUGAGCCGCAUCGUCCGCAAUCCUGGGAAGGUCUAUAACCUGUCCUCUAAUCUCGUCCUCGAAAAUCGUUCCCCGUCGAUGACGUUUUCCUUUCCGCCGUAUAAUUAAUAGCCAGCGCACUGUUUUCUCCCUUAAAGGGAUGAGAUUUUUCUUUUUGUUUCACUAGCACUUCUCGAUUGAUCGCAUAAUUUAUCAGAUUGUUCAAAUCCAUUACUCCUUCCAGGUCUUUGUCUCUUACUCGCUCAUCGCUAGCCCCAACAGUUAUUUGCUGAAGAAUUUCUUUUUCUUCACGAGCACCAAAAUCACAACUACGCGCUUGUGUUUGUAGACGUAGCAUGUAGCGGUUAACGGGUUCAUCGAGCUUUUGUUUUAGCGCGCGGAAUACCUCUAGCUCAACCCUUUCAUUGCGUUUUCCAAUAAAGAACGCGUUGAGCCUUUGAACUGCGUUAUCAUACUCCGGAAUUUCUUUUGGUGCCAUUGGUGGUUUAGGAGGAUCUGGGACAACUUCUCCCACUACAGGUGCUAAAUUAUAGUAGAUACGUUGCAAUCCUCUGCCUCCACGGGCCAACAUAAAAAGCAGCUUUUCAUGUUGCGAUUCAGUCUGCUUUAACUCCAAGACUAUCUCGCAUGAUCUAUGCCACUCUUCCCACUCACGGCGCAACGCCGAACUAUCAACGGCAUCGUUAAAUGGUUCCAAAUGGAAGUGCUGUUCCAUCUGUAGAAAAAUGUAAACAAAAAACCCACAUUUGAGUUGCGCCAAGCUACCGUAAUGAUAAUCCAUAAUGGCUAUCCCAUUGCGCUUCUCCCUAUUUUCCGGACAGAUUUCUUAUAAAACCUCGUUUUGGAUUCCUCUUCCUAUUCUCAACAUAUUCUCACUACUGCUUUCGUUUCCUAAUCACUUUUGAUUUCUAUUUUUCUCUUGCUUUCCUCCAUGACUCUAUCUUCCGAUAGAUUUCAUCAUUCCACCAUUGUACUCCAAAAAUUUCGUUUCAGCCUAUUCUAUAAAACUAUGGCAUAUUAUCGAACUGUGUGUUUCGGUGCCUACAUUGUUUAUAGCGCUUCGGUUUUUUUUUUUGAACCGGACUCGCUUUUCCGUAUUUCUGUACCUGUGUUUUGCUUAAACGUGUGCUUCGAGGUAUUCUCUCCUCGGACUCACAACAAAAUCUUUUGUUCUUUUCUCGGACUCGCAAACAUUUUUUUUUUGUUUAGCGCUUCGGUUAUCUACCGGACUCGCUUUUCUGUUCUGUUUCUGCUUUUCUGUGAUUCUUCUUUACCUGUGUAUUGCUCAAACGUGUGCUUCGAGGUAUUCUCUCCUCGGACUCACAACAAUUUUUUCUAAUGCGCUUCGGUUUUUUUCUCUUUUCUUUUUUUUACCGGGCUCGCUUCUUUUUUUUUCUUUUCACGGGGCGUUCUUACACGUGCGCUUCGAGAACUUAUUUUCUCGGACUCGCAACCAAUUUUCUUUUCGGCAUAUUUCAUCUCCCAAUUUAGUGAUUCAAUCCUUCUUACCCAAAUUUGGCCUUAUCCCUGUUUCUCUGAUAAGUAUAUUAACUUAGUGUUUCAUUAGCAUAAUGACUCUUGUUGAUUUUUUUUGACUUAUUUCACUUUCUUCUCAAAACUUAGCAACAAUAAAUUGGUCAUUUCAACCAAACACUUGAUGAGCACUCUGUUUACAAUCGUAAUCACUGUUUAAAAUGUUUCACCAUUUCACAUAAAUCCUUUUUUUUUGCUCCCGUGGGGAACUAGACAUUUCAAAAUUCCCCACGGGAGCAAACAACAUCUCUCACCUUGUCUUCCAUUGUUCUUCCGUUCUUCCUCUCGAUCCUACCGGCUGCGCCAAAUGUAGAGUUGUUCAUUUAUUAAACUGUUCCAGACUUACGUCCUAUCACGAUCACGUUCGCUAACACUCUGCCGGUUUUCCAUUCUCUGCUUGGUAUCCCCGUUACUUCCCAGGCUGCAAGGAACAUAUGAAAAGACCAAAUCCCUCUGUUUACAAUACUAAGUCAGCGAGUUCAUGAACUUUAUACGGCUUUUUACCUAAUAAUAAAUAGUAAAAUCAUUAAAAAAAAUAUAGAAAAAUCGUGUCUUUAUUUAACAUGUACAUUUUAUUUGGUUUUAAAAGAUUUUUCAUUAUUUUUCAAUUUUAAUCAAAAAAUAGAGAGCAAUGAUAUUGUUGAUAUUGGUUCCCUGAUCAGCGAUUGUUGUUGUUUUGCCUGUCAGACUGGCCGACGCGCUACAAAAAGAAAACUUCUAUCCGUACAAACAAAAAUUUUCCGAGUGCUUCUUAAUUACGUUUUUGCUCAGUGCCUACUAAUAUCACCAAUCUUGUAAAAAUGAGUGACCAAUUCACUUAACGAGUAAAAUAUAAUUCAUAUUUGUAUCGUUAUAGCGAUGCUACAGAGCGUCGAGCAGCUUUGCUAGAGCAGAAUGACGAAGAGCUAGUUGCAGGAGGAAGUUCAUACGUUAUUGGAAGCAACCAAGGCGCAGGCGAUGCACCUAUGGAUUAUCAUUCAGAAGGAUCUUCCAAUGUGAUAGCAGUAGAAGCCGGUGAAACGACAAGCGAACCUGAAUGUGAUGAGUUUGUUACGGACUAUUUAGUUGAAAGCUCUGACGAUGAAAGAAUGGACACAGAACGCACAGAAGGGUAUGAUGUAGAAGCCGAAUUACGUCGAUGGGCAAUAUCCACCAAUCAAUCGUAUAAUUCUAUAAGUCAAGUUAUGGAAAUCAUACGAAACGUGAGUUCUUGUAAUCUUCCAAAAGAUGCUAGAACUUUGCUGAAGACUCAUCGAAAUGACUCAAAUGAAGUUGUAACGAUAAACGGAAGUCAGUAUUGGUAUAACGGGAUAAGACGAUGUCUGCUCAACGAACUAAGCCGCAGCGAUAUAGCUCUCGAUUCGUAUUCUAAGCUGGAACUUAAUGUUUCUAUUGAUGGAUUACCCAUAUUUAAAAGCAGCAAUCUUCAAUUUUGGCCAAUAUUAUUCAACGUUCAUAACAUUCCAGAAGUGCCGGUAAUGACCAUUGCAGUUUACAGCGGAUCAACAAAACCAGCAGAUAUCGAUCAAUUUCUUCAGCCCUUCGUUGAUGAACUUAACUUCCUUAUGGAAAAUGGAAUAACCAUCAAUAACAAAAAGAUUUCCAUAUAAUUACGUGUCAUUAUAGCUGAUUCACCUGCUCGAGCAUAUAUUAAAGGUGUUGCUGGUUUCAACUCACGAGAUGGUUGCUUGAAAUGCGCAACGUAAGGAAGAAGCCUUAAUGGAAGAACUGCAUUUUCCAGUUAUACUGAACUUGAGCGAACAGAUCAUGGGUUCAGAUUACGAAUUUACGAAGGUCAUCAUAAAUAUUGUACUCCAUUGUUGAAACUAAAUGACUUCGACAUUAUCAAACAAAUAAUCGUCGCAGAUCAACUACAUUUGAUAGACUUAGGUAUCACCAAACGCACGAUCGUAAGUUUCAUGGAAGGAAAAUUUGGCGUUAAAAAAAAGCUUAACAAUACACAAAUUAACAAUUUGUCUGCAAUGCUGACCAACAUCAAACUUCCUAUUGAAAUUCAUAGAAAGUUCCGUUCAUUGCGUGGCUAUAAGCACUGGAAAGGCUCAGAAUAUUCCUAAUUUCUAUUUUAUGCCAGUUUCGUUAUACUCAAAGAGAUAACAAAUGAAGAACAAUACAAGCACUUCAUGCUGUUCUUUUGUAGCUUAACUUUGUUUUCCUCAAAUGUUUACUAAGAACAUUGGCCUUCAGCAAACACGUUGAUUCAACUUUAUGUAAAACAUUACGCAAAUAUCUAUGGCCCGGAAUUUAUUUCAAGCAAUGUACACAAUCUGCUACAUAUAUUCAAAGAAGUUGAACAAUUUGGUCCAAUUAGUAGCAUAUCUUCUUAUCCAUUUGAAAACCAUUUGCAGCAUUUAAAACGUUCUUUGCGUUCUGGCUGGAAAUGCUUAGAGCAAACUAUAAAUAGACUUUCCGAAAAAGAAGUUUUUAACACUCGUUCCGCUAAUCUAUGUUUAAAUUUCCCUUCUGUUCAUACCAGAACUGGCACGGUAACGUUACAUGUCCGCAAAGCCUUUCUUUUAAAAACUGGGGAACGUAACGAAUGGUUUUUGACCAAAAGUGGUAACGUGUGAAAAUUUAUCACUGCACAUGAACAAUACCGUAACAUAAAAAUUGUUGCGAAAAAAUUGUCUCAAACAGACGAUUGUUUUGUAUAUCCUUUGAAUUCUAAAUUUAUGCAUAUGCAUCAUGGAAACCUGAGCGAUCUGGCACAUACGGAAUCGGAUGUUAAUAUUGAGGAUAUACGAUGUAAAUUGGUAGCUGUUCCCCUUUCCAAAGAAAAUGAGUAUCAAUAUGUUCCAUUAAUUCAUACCCUCGUAGGCUAAUAUUUGCAUUUCUUAGAUAAUAAAUAAUUAAUAUGAUUUUCUUUC